GGGGGCGUUUUGGAUUCGACGGGGAUAGUUCGAGCAUGAGCUGCGAGUAGGGGACCGUGCCCUCUUUAACAACAUGGAAGCCAACAAUAAUUGGCAAACAAGAAUUCGCUUUAGCUGCUUAAUAUAAAGUAGCUGCCUCACCACUCCAUCGCCUGUGUGGCGUGAAUGGGGCUCAUAAAUGCAGGCUAGUCAUAGGGCAUGCCGAUGGUUCUGUGGCGAAACUUCAUCGGAUAGUCUAGAAGAAUCCUGUCGUUGGGAUACCUUUUAGGCGAAUAACGAAAUGACGACUACACUCGUAGACGCUGAUGUGGCGAUAUCUUCGGACACGGGUUCGAUUCCCGUCGCCUCCACCA
rnacentral:tmRNA from 1 species